rnacentral:rRNA from 1 species
UAGGGAAUCUUCCACAAUGGACGCAAGUCUGAUGGAGCAACGCCGCGUGAGUGAAGAAGGUUUUCGGAUCGUAAAGCUCUGUUGUUGGUGAAGAAGGAUAGAGGCAGUAACUGGUCGUUAUUUGACGGUAAUCAACCAGAAAGUCACGGCUAACUACGUGCCAGCAGCCGCGGUAAUACGUAGGUGGCAAGCGUUGUCCGGAUUUAUUGGGCGUAAAGCGAGCGCAGGCUGAAUGAUAAGUCUGAUGUGAAAGCCCACGGCUCAACCGUGGAACUGCAUCGGAAACUGUCAUUCUUGAGUGCAGAAGAGGAGAGUGGAAUUCCAUGUGUAGCGGUGGAAUGCGUAGAUAUAUGGAAGAACACCAGUGGCGAAGGCGGCUCUCUGGUCUGCAACUGACGCUGAGGCUCGAAAGCAUGGGUAGCGAACAGG